rnacentral:misc_RNA from 1 species
AAACGUCGGCCAUGGCUCAAGCUGGAGCGAAAUCAAAGAGGUUUACUCUUUACUAUUUUCCGACGUCGUUUUCAUCUCAAAAGGUGUUGCUGGGAUUCUAUGAAAAGGAGGUUGCUUUUAAGCCCAAACUGGUCAGUCUGUUUUCUGGUCAACACAAUGCACCCUGGUACGUGAAGCUGAAUCCCGAGGGAGCCCAUAUUCCAGUCCUGAAGGAUGGGGAAACUAUCAUCACAGAACCGGACAAAAUCAUAGACUAUAUCGACAGCAACUCAGAAUCCUCAGUGCCAAAACUAAUUCCAGACCAGGAGUCAGAGCUUGGAAAGAAAGUAGCAGAGUUACGGAAACGUUUGCAAAUGGUAGAAGUGGACAUAAUUACAUAUGGAAUAAUUUACCAUCCACACUUGUCACCUGUUGGAUGUCGAAUUCAGGGGGCAGUCAUGAGGAGUAUGAGGGAAAAUUUUGCCAACCGUCUGGCUGUACUGACAGACUUAGCUGCUAAACACCCAGCUCUUAGAGACAGCUACCUGAUGAAGAGUCAGACAGCGGCCCAGAAGUUUGAUGUCAUUACAGAUGCUGCACAGGUACAGCGCCACCUGGAGGAGUUACAGAUCACCAUGGAUACAGUGGAACAACAACUGAAAAGUAUCAAGGAAGGGAGUCCUGACAUUGCUGAUGACCUGUGGCUGUUUGGGCCGAUGUACACUGUAGCAGAUAUCAGUCUGACAGUACUGUUGAGUAGACUUGCUCUCUUGGGCCUCGACAAAACCUACUUCUCCCAGGAAAACAACCCAUACACACACAACUACUACAACCAGGUGAAGAAACGACCCACCUACCUGAUGAUACAAAAGGAAAUCUCAAAUCUAAGAAUGACAUUACUAUGGGAAAAUUUGAAGACAGCCUCUCCAUACCUUGCAGGUUUAGUUGGUGUAGGAAUUGUAGGGACAAUAGGAUACUUUGUUUAUAAAAAGUGGAAUGAAUAGGACUCUUUAUUUGGUUAAUUUAUUAUUUUUAGGAUUAUAGAAAUAGUGUUGUGAAUGUUUAACUCAUUCACCCUUGAAGACACAGUUGAACUCCUCCAAUUCUUAGGUUGGAAUAGUUCAUCAUGAAAUUUCAGUGGGUGAAUGAGUUAAAAAAUGAAAUCUGUAAUGUUUUCUAGAUGCUGCAGAAGUAAGGAAAACAUAUUCUACAGUGUAUUGUUUUGCUGUAUAGUUUACUUUUGUGUAAUUAUGGAUGAUAAUUGUACAGCUGAACUAAUUCUACCUGGUUUACAUGGCAUCCACAGAGUUAUUUACAUCUACAGGGGUGAGAGGGUGGUAUAGAGUUAUGUACAUCUACAGGGGUGAGAAGAUGGUACAGAGUUAUGUACAUCUACAGGGGUGAGAGGGUGGUACAGCGUUAUGUACAUCUACAGGGGUGAGAGGAUGGUACAGAGUUAUCAACCUCUACAGGGGUGAGAGGGUGGUACAGAGUUACGUACAUCUACAGGGGUGAGAGGGUGGUAUAGAGUUAUGUACAUCUACAGGGGUGAGAGGGUGGUAUAGAGUUAUGUACAUCUACAGGGGUGAGAGGGUGGUAUAGAGUUAUGUACAUCUACCGGGGUGAGAGGGUGGUACAGAGUUACGUACAUCUACAGGGGUGAGAGGGUGGUAUAGAGUUAUGUACAUCUACCGGGGUGAGAGGGUGGUACAGAGUUACGUACAUCUACAGGGGUGAGAGGGUGGUAUAGAGUUAUGUACAUCUACAGGGGUGAGAGGAUGGUACAGAGGUAUGUACAUAUACAGGGGUGAGAGGAUGGUACAGAGGUAUGUACAUCUACAGGGGUGAGAGGGUGGUAUAGAGUUAUGUACAUCUACAGGGGUGAGAAGAUCGUACAGAGUUAUGUACAUCUACAGGGGCGAGAGGGUGGUACAGAGUUAUGUACGUCUACAAGGGUGAGAGAGUGGUACAGAGGUAUGUACAUCUACAGGGGUGAGAGGGUGGUACAGAGUUACGUACAUCUACAGGGGUGAGAGGGUGGUAUAGAGUUAUGUACAUCUACCGGGGUGAGAGGGUGGUACAGAGUUAUGUACGUCUACAAGGGUGAGAGAGUGGUACAGAGGUAUGUACAUCUACAGGGGUGAGAGGCUGGCACAGAGUUAUGUACAUCUACAGGGGCGAGAGGGUGGUACAGAGUUAUGUACAUCUACAGGGGUGAGAGGGUAAUCAUUCUAAUAUUCUGUAGGUAGAUAAGUUUUGAACUGAUCUACAUGGACUGUUGUGAUGGUUGUGUGUGUUCUUUAGUUUAUAUAAGUUAUGACCUUAAAAGGUGUUUCUGUAUUUGUAGGUAGUGAUCAAUUCUGUGUAUGCACUCAUUCCAUCACUUAUUUAUGUGCCAUCAUAAGCCAGAGAUUUUAAAAUUCAAAUAAAUUAUUGGAAAACAAUGCAUAAUUCUAAUUCCAAUAACUUGAGAGAAUUUUAAAAGAAGUAGUUUUUCUGUAUAUUUAAUAUUUUUGAAGUUGAGACAUGAUAUGGACUAAAAGAGGUGUGCAUAUCCAAAUAAAUGUACUAAAGUUACCAAAGCUAGCUAGUUACAUAAAUACAUUAUUUGAAUUACAGGUAUCGACAACGUUUUAAGUUUGAACAUAUUUAAACCUAAGAAGCAUUUUAAUCAUACAAUUUGAUUGAAAAAUGUCAAUAUGUUUUGACGGGUAGAUGCAUGCAUUAAGUUUUACAUUCAUGUAUUUUUUACCACCUCAAAGUAUGCAAGAUAUAAUCUGUCCCAUGUGGGACACGCAUGGAAGAUUAAUAAAAUCUGUCAACCCCUACGAGGUAAGAUAGGGAAAUCUCAAUCCAAGGGGCAAGUUUCUGAAUUUCCCAAACAGGAGGUUUGCCUAGUGUUUUUCAUUUUAAGUCUUUCUCCGAGGGUUGAGAUUCCCCAUCUCACUUCAAAUGAGUGAAUGAUUCUUUUUCUCUUAUUCUGUUGACCUAGUCAUAUACAUAAUGCAAUGUUGAUGUGAAAGGCUCAAUACUCAAUUCUUUGUUGACAUUAAUGCAUUGUUUACGUGACAUCAUUAAAUUGUUGACAUGUCAUUAGUUGACAUGGGAAUCCCCCCUCUCGGUUUUUUUCAACCCUAGGGUGAGACGGGAUAUCUCACACUGGGAAAAAUGUGGAUAGGCCUAUCCAGGUUAAGAGCAAACUAUAUCCCAAUUAGGUGAACCCAGUGAAAUCUAACUUAGCUACAAGGAAGAAGAGUUCUACUUUUUCACAUUUAUUCUGAACUUUCACGAAAAACAUUUCGGCUGCACCCAAGGAAUUUCAUCCCCUGACCUCUUUCUCAUGAAGCAGGGAGCUAAUCCUACACACUACUGGACAUGGUACAUCACUGAAAAUACUGACACAAUGUUCUACCUCCCUAAUACGGUCUAUAAUUGUCUUUGUAUAAAUACAGAGGAAAUAACUUAAAUGUAACGGGAAAGUAAUUUUUCAAUCCUGAAUGCAGUAGAAAAGUGAUGGCACUUCGGUACAUCUUCCAUAUAGAUGUACAUGAACCACAUUGUCUGCUCCAAAUAUGUCUGUGGUUAAUUUGUAUGUUUAAUAUCUAGAAAAUCUGCAUGUUCUUUCUGCCAUUAGGUAAUUGUUGUGUUAGCAAUAUCAGUGUCAAGAAUCACGUUUAUAAAGUCAUAGAAUGUAGGUGGGAGAAAAAAGAAUCAAUUGUUAUGUUUCUGUAGGUACGUUUUUUGUAUGAGAGAUAUUAACAUCAGUACCUACAGUUAGAAUGUGACUAUACCCCAUACCUAUACAUGAUAAAAUUUGUUAAUAUUUACACUUUUAUAUUAUUUGGUCCUUGUAGUUUAUCCGGGUAUAUUGUGUACCAGUUACAUCUACAGAGAUUUAGAUAUUGGCUUACGACCUUAACUCAUUCAGCCCUGAAACUUCAUAAUGAACUUUUCCAUCCUUCGAAUUUGAAGAGUUCAAAUGUGUCUUCUGGUGUGAAUGAGUUAAAUGAUGAUUUAUGAUGUCAUGUUUUGGUCAAUAGAACAGUACAAAUGUACCACUCAAGCUAUACUCGUGUACAUUUUUUUUUUUUAACAGAAUUAACUUUUAUGUGUAUCAUUUGUUAUGAACAAAAGUUCAGAAAAAGUCAUAACUAUUAGUAUACCAACACCUAGGAGCUUCCAUUUAAGUCAUCACUUGUUGGAUAUCCUCUGUGUACAAGAUAUAAAAUUUCAUAGCAGCAGAAUUUUGACGUAAUAACAACCAUUUAUUUGGUAAUCUCUGCUGUUCAUUGUAUCUGCUAACCUUUGUCUCAGAGGAUGGUUCAUUGUAUGCUCAAAAGUCAUGGAAGUCUGUGUGUUGGUUCUAUAAUGCAACUUAGAUUUGUUUGCCACCUUAAUCGUAACACACAAAGGAGCAGAUUACAAGGUAGACAAAUUGAUCAAUCAAAAUAGGAUGCAUUCUUCGUAUUUAAGACCAAUUUUCGAAAUUGAAAUAUUUAUAGUCAAUAACCAAGAUCUGUGUAAACAAGAAAAGAUAGAUGUUUUACAUUUACGGGGAGGUAAGCCAUACUUGUCUACCAUGUGUUGACAUUCCUUAAACUGGAGUUACACUUCCUGUCCUGU